GCUGUUGAAAACAUGGCCAACCAACUGGAGCACCCACAAGGCUCUUGUGAAGGAAGUCCACAAGCCUUUGUGCUUCAGGAUGGAUGGAAAGAACUCUUUGAUCAACCCCCACAGAGAGCUGAGGCUAUCUUUUGGAGACACCCCCGGCUAGUAGUGCUGCUGAAACUGGUGGAGGCAACAAUGAAGCGGCAACAGAAAGAGAAGGCAGGUGGCAAAGGUUGCUGCUAUUGAAAAAUACUUUGAGAGUGAGUGUGUGUGCAUGUAUGUAGCUGGGUAGGUCAUGGUACAUGGUACAAAAAUACAGAAUUUAAAGCACUAGCACAACACUUAACUCACAACCCACAACUACUGACAAUGGAAUUACUCUUUUAGAGUGAGUGAGUGAGGGAGAGAUAGAAUAUUUCUGUAAAUGUUUAAUGUUAAUUUAGAAUAAUUUAUUUAUUUGAAUCAUUAUACAGUUUUAAAAUGUUUAAUUGUUUGUGUUUUUGUAUAUGAAAGAAGUCGAUUGUUGUAGAUAAAAGUAGAUUGUAUAUUUUAACUUGUUUAA